AACGAACGCUGGCGGCAGGCUUAACACAUGCAAGUCAAACGGUUGUAGCAAUACAGCAGUGGCAAACGGGUGAGUAACACGUGGGAACCUUCCUAGGGGUACGGAACAACUCAGGGAAACUUGAGCUAAUACCGUAUACGUCCGUGAGGAGAAAGUUUUAACGCCCCUAGACGGGCCCGCGUAGGAUUAGGUAGUUGGUGAGGUAACGGCUCACCAAGCCUACAAUCCUUAGCUGAUCUGAGAGGAUGAUCAGCCACACUGGGACUGAAACACGGCCCAAACUCCUACGGGAGGCAGCAGUGGGGAAUCUUGGACAAUGGGCGCAAGCCUGAUCCAGCCAUGCCGCGUGAGUGAAAAAGGCCUUCGGGUUGUAAAGCUCUUUUACCAGGGACAAUAAUGACGGUACCUGGAGAAUAAGCCCCGGCAAACUUCGUG
rnacentral:rRNA from 1 species